rnacentral:rRNA from 1 species
AGAGCGAACGCUGGCGGCAGGCCUAACACAUGCAAGUCGAGCGCCCCGCAAGGGGAGCGGCAGACGGGAGAGUAACACGUGGGAACGUACCCUUUGGUUCGGAACAACACAGGGAAACUUGUGCUAAUACCGGAUAAGCCCUUACGGGGAAAGAUUUAUCGCCAAAGGAUCGGCCCGCGUCUGAUUAGCUUGUUGGUGAGGUAACGGCUCACCAAGGCUACGAUCAGUAGCUGGUCUGAGAGGAUGAUCAGCCUCACUGGGACUGAGACACGGCCCAGACUCCUACGGGAGGCAGCAGUGGGGAAUAUUGGACAAUGGGCGCAAGCCUGAUCCAGCCAUGCCGCGUGGAUGAUGAAGGCCCUAGGGUUGUAAAGUCCUUUCGACGGGGAAGAUAAUGACGGUACCCGUAGAAGAACGCCCCGGCUAACUUCGCGCCAGCAGCCGC